UACGUAGGUGGCGAGCGUUGUCCGGAUUUACUGGGCGUAAAGAGCGCGCAGGCGGUCGUUCAAGUCGCGUGUGAAAGCCCCCGGCUCAACUGGGGAGGGUCACGCGAUACUGAUCGACUCGAAGGCAGGAGAGGGAAGUGGAAUUCCCGGUGUAGUGGUGAAAUGCGUAGAUAUCGGGAGGAACACCCGUGGCUAAGGCGGCUCUCUAGUACGGUACUGACGCUGAGACGCGAAAGCGUGGGGAGCGAACAGG
rnacentral:rRNA from 1 species